GACGAACGCUGGCGGCGUGCUUAACACAUGCAAGUCGAACGGAAAGGCCCUGCUUAUGUGGGGUGCUCGAGUGGCGAACGGGUGAGUAACACGUGAGUAACCUGCCCUUGACUUUGGGAUAACUUCAGGAAACUGGGGCUAAUACCGGAUAGGAGCUCCUGCUGCAUGGUGGGGGUUGGAAAGUUUCGGCGGUUGGGGAUGGACUCGCGGCUUCUCAGCUUGUCGGUGGGGUAGUGGCUUACCAAGGCGUUGACGAGUAGCCGGCCUGAGAGGGUGACCCGCCACAUUGGGACUGAGAUACGGCCCAGACUCCUACGGGAGGCAGCAGUGAGGAAUAUUGCACACUGGGCCGAAGCCUGAUGCAGGAACUCCGCGUGCGGGAUGACGGCCUUCGGGUUGUAAACCGCUUUCGCCUAUGCCGAAGCGUGAGUGACGGUAGUGGGUAAAGAAGCACCGGCUAAAUACGUG
rnacentral:rRNA from 1 species